rnacentral:rRNA from 1 species
AUUGAACGCUGGCGGCAGGCCUAACACAUGCAAGUCGGGCGGAGCGGCGGACGGGUGAGUAAUGCCUAGGAAUCUGCCUGGUAGUGGGGGAUAACGUCCGGAAACGGGCGCUAAUACCGCAUACUAUCAGAUGAGCCUAGGUCGGAUUAGCUAGUUGGUGGGGUAAAGGCCUACCAAGGCGACGAUCCGUAACUGGUCUGAGAGGAUGAUCAGUCCCACUGGAACUGGGACACGGUCCAGACUCCUACGGGAGGCAGAAGUGGGGAAUAUUGGACAAUGGGCGCAAGCCUGAUGCAGCCAUGCCGCGUGUAUGAAGAAGGCCUUCGGGUUGUAAAGUACUUUCAGUCGGGAAGCGUUACCGACAGAAGAAGCACCGGCUAACUCCGUGCCAGCAGCCGCGGUAAUAC